CAUGUGGCUUUAUUCAAAGCCACCUCUGGGAUAAUUUCAAAUUCUC
rfam:Trichoderma atroviride IMI 206040 TRIATcontig_24, whole genome shotgun sequence.